rnacentral:rRNA from 1 species
UACGAGGGGGGCAAAUGUUGUUCGGAAUCACUGGGCGUAAAGCGUGCGCAGGCGGUUAUGUAAGACAGAUGUGAAAUGCCCGGGCUUAACCCUGGGAACUGCAUUUGUGACUGCAUGGCUAGAGUUUGGCAGAGGGGGUAGAAUUCCACGUGUAGCAGUGAAUGCGUAGAUAUGUGGAGGAACACCGAUGGCGAAGGCAGCCCCCUGGGUCAAGACUGACGCUCAUGCACGAAAGCGUGGGAGCAACAGG